ACUUUAAAGAGACUGCCGGUGUUAAACCGGAGGAAGUGGGGAUGACGUCAAGUCCUCAUGGCCUUUAUGCUUAGGGCUACACACGUGCUACAAUGGGUGGUACAAAGAGCAGCCAACUCGCGAGAGCGCGCUAAUCUCAAAAAGCCAUCCUCAGUUCGGAUUGGAGUCUGCAACUCGACUCCAUGAAGUUGGAAUCGCUAGUAAUCGCGGAUCAGCAUGCCGCGGUGAAUACGUUCCCGGGCCUU
rnacentral:rRNA from 1 species